AGCGAACGCUGGCGGCAUGCCUAACACAUGCAAGUCGCACGGGGGGGCUUCGGCCUCCCAGUGGCGGACGGGUGAGGAACGCGUAGGGACCUGUCGAGGGGUGGGGGAUAACCGCGGGAAACUGCGGCUAAUACCGCAUGACGCCGCGGCGUGACAGUCGGGGCCACAGGCGACAGACGCCCGCGGAGGGGCCUCCGUCCGAUUAGCUGGUUGGCGGGGUAGCGGACCACCAAGGCGUGGACCGGUAGCUGGGCUGAGAGGGUCAUCAGCCACCCCGGGACUGAGACACGGCCGGGACUCCUACGGGAGGCAGCAGUGGGGAAUAUUGGACAGUGGGCGGAAGGCUGAAGCAGCAAUGCCGCGUAGGUGAAGAAGGUCGGCGGGUUGUAAAGCCCUUUCGGCGGGGACGAUGGUGACGGUACCCGCAGAAGAAGCCCCGGCUAACUUCGUG
rnacentral:rRNA from 1 species